CUGUCUCUCUGUCUGUCCGUCUGUCCGUGUGCCCGUCCGUGGGCGGCCCCACGAGCACUCCUGGCCCAGGAGCUGCCCCUGGCCGAGCCGAGCUCGGGCUGGUCCCAGCUCUUCCUUCAGCCUUUCCUGCCCUUCGUGCCUUGGCACUUGGGGAAUUUCAACCAGCGACUCUUUCCCUGCCGCCGUCGGGGAAGGUCCUGCCUGGGACAGAAAGGCUAAAAAAGAGGAAACUUUAAAAUGCCCAAACCAGAUGCUGCCACGUGAGUCAAAGCAGGGAAAGCCUCGGGAUGUGGAAGAAUAAGACCAACAAUUUCUCUACAGCAGUUGAGCAGCUUCAAUUUCCAUUCCAUCCAUAUGACACAGCAUCUAAUUCCACCUCCUGAUUUGAUCUUGGCAAAAGGAAGAGUCACCUGCGCUCAGUGUAAAUAUUUAG